rfam:Picea glauca, whole genome shotgun sequence.
ACAUGCUUGCAUCAUAGCGUUAAUGCAAUGGAUCUCAUUAGAACUCUGGAGUUAAGCACGCUCAGACUAUAGUACUGGGAUGGGUGAUUGCUCGGGAAGUCCUACUAUUUUACAUGCC